GAAUUUUGGACAAUGGGCGAACGCCUGAUCCAGCAAUGCCGCGUGCAGGAUGAAGGCCUUCGGUAUGUAAACUGCUUUUGUACGGAACGAAUAGCUUUUGGUUCAUACCCUGGAGUCAUGACGGUAACGUAAGAAUAAGCACACGCUAACUACCUGACAGCAGCCGCGGUAAUUCGUGGGGUGCAAGCGUUAAUCGGAAUUACUGGGCCUAAAGCGUGCGAAGGCGGUUUUGUAAGACAGAGGUGAAAUCCCCGGGCUCAACCUGGGAACUGCCUUUGUGGCUGCAAGGCUAGAGUACGGCAGAGGGGGGUGGAAUUCCGCGUGUAGCAGUGAAAUGCGUAGAUAUGCGGAGGAACACCGAUGGCGAAGGCAACCCCCUGGGCCUGUACUGACGCUCAUGCACGAAAGCGUGGGGAGCAAACA
rnacentral:rRNA from 1 species